AUUGAACGCUGGCGGCAGGCCUAACACAUGCAAGUCGAACGAGUGGCGGACGGGUGAGUAAUGUCUGGGAAACUGCCCGAUGGAGGGGGAUAACUACUGGAAACGGUAGCUAAUACCGCAUACCCUCUGAUGUGCCCAGUGUGGAUUAGCUAGUAGGUGGGGUAACGGCUCACCUGGGCGACGAUCCCUAGCUGGUCUGAGAGGCUGACCAGCCACACGUGAACUGAGACACGGUCCAGAUUCCUACGGGAGGAAGCAGUGGGGAAUAUUGCACAAUGUGCGCAAGCCUGAGGAAGCCAUGCCGCGUGUAUGAAGAAGGCCUUCGGGUUGUAAAGUACGUUCAGCGGGGAGGCGUUACCCGCAGAAGAAGCACCGGCUAACUCCGUGCCAGCAGCCGCGGUAAUAC
rnacentral:rRNA from 1 species